GCUGGUUCAGAACAACUGUUCUCUCACUCCUGUCAGUACGAAUGCAGAGAGAGACAAUGAGAAAAUAAAAACAGAGAAAGAAGAAGGAAGAGUAGCAGCUAUGGCAGUAACCUGGCGUCUUGCCUGGAAACACAGCAGGGUUUGAUCCACCGGUGACAGGCGAGGCAUGAACGAGCCAGCAGACCGGUCUGGCUGCCUCUCUUCAUUAUGUGUGGCAUUACAUGGAGCAAAUACACAAAUGUCAGUCAUGUAAGUACUGGUUUGGGAUUCAAACGUAGCCUGGGAUUCUUGAUGGCUACGGACAGCACCGCCAUCGGUGUGUGAGUUGGCGUCGCAGAUGGCUGCCUCGGUUCUGUACCAGAGACAGAUUCCUUGUGUGUGUAACAGGCUUGGCCAGUAAAAGUGAUGAUCAUAUCUUGGCCUGUCUUUAUCAUGUCAUUCUGCAUUUUUCUAGUGCUGCUGGACAAUGGAAAGGUGAACAGAAGACAUGUCGAGGCAUUUCCAGCACAAGAUGUUUUAAACAUGACUUCAGUUUCUGCAGCUCAGCUGAAAGAGGCCACUGCCAUCAGGGGACACUGUGGCCAUGAAGGGGCGGACUUGGUCUGCAGCAGUGUUUAGGGCUCACAUCACUUCACACAGAUGUGCACACUGUUCUGCAACACACCCACCUUCAGCUGGUCAGUAAUCUUGUGUGACUGGUUGCAUUCUGUUGCUGUGUAGUCUGCUUGUUGUGGUUUUCAGACUGGUGAGCUCAGAACAAAUAUAACUCUGCUUGCUUGAAGUACUCUGGUUGUUGCUUGCAGAGGUGUCGACAGCAGCUAAAAUGCCUUUGUAAAUGGCCCACAUUCCAUUUUAUUUGGAACAUACUGCCAAUCUUACUGUUUCAGCACCAGCCCAAUUCACUGUCCAACAGAGUCUUGUUAGUGUGGCUGUGCAGAUGAAAUCAGUCACAUCAGCUGUUAAAAUACCUGAGUGACUUUGUGGAUGGUGAAGAAGGAUCUCCAGUGUAUGACCAACUGGGUUAUUCCUUCCUCACUCAGGAGUCUCACUUGUUCACAGUAUCGUCAAAGCCUGAGUCUGGUGCCAAUUCUAGAAAUGAUCUGUUUC